rnacentral:rRNA from 1 species
GCGGCAGCGCGGGGGCAACCCUGGCGGUUCCGCGGCGCAAGGGUGAGUAAUGCAUCGGAACGUGUCCUCUUGUGGGGGAUAACCAGUCUGAAAGACUGGCUAAUACCGCAUGAGCACGAGAGUGGAAAGCAGGGGACCCGCAAGGGCCUUGCGCGAGAGGAGCGGCCGAUGCCGGAUUAGCUAGUUGGUAGGGUAAAAGCCUACCAAGGCGACGAUCCGUAGCUGGUUUGAGAGAACGACCAGCCACACUGGGACUGAGACACGGCCCAGACUCCUACGGGAGGCAGCAGUGGGGAAUUUUGGACAAUGGGGGCAACCCUGAUCCAGCCAUGCCGCGUGUGUGAAGAAGGCCUUCGGGUUGUAAAGCACUUUCGGCCGGAACGAAAUCGCACGGGUGAAUAUCCCGUGUGGAUGACGGUACCGGAAGAAGAAGCACCGGCUAACUACGUGCCAGCAGCCGCGGUAAUACGUAGGGUGCGAGCGUUAAUCGGAAUUACUGGGCGUUAAAGUGUGCGCAGCGGCCGAGCAAGUCGAGUGUGAAAGCCCCGAGCUUAACUUGGGAACUGCGCUCGAAACUACUUGGCUAGAGUGUGGGCAGAGGGAGGUGGAAUUCCACGUGUACCGGUGAAAUGC